UACGUAGGGGGCAAGCGUUGUCCGGAUUUAUUGGGCGUAAAGAGCGUGUAGGCGGUUAGGUAGGUCCGUUGUGAAAACUCGAGGCUCAACCUCGAGACGCCGAUGGAAACCAUCUGACUAGAGUCCGGAAGAGGAGAGUGGAAUUCCUGGUGUAGCGGUGAAAUGCGCAGAUAUCAGGAGGAACACCUGAGGCGAAGGCGGGUUGCUAGGCUGACACUGACGCUGAGGCGCGAAAGCUAGGGUAGCAAACGGG
rnacentral:rRNA from 1 species